rnacentral:rRNA from 1 species
CACGGGGGGAGCAAGCGUUGUUCGGAUUCAUUGGGCGUAAAGGGCUCGUAGGUGGCUCUGUAAGUCGGAGGUGAAAGACCACGGCUCAACCGUGGAAACGCCUUCGAAACUGUGGAGCUUGAGGCUGGGAGAGGAGAUCGGAAUUUCCGGUGUAGCGGUGAAAUGCGUAGAUAUCGGAAGGAACAUCAGUGGCGAAAGCGACUUCCUGGACCAGUACCGACGUUCAGGCACGAAAGCGUGGGGAGCAAACAGG